rnacentral:lncRNA from 1 species
UUAGUGAUCAAAUGUAAAUGUUUUGAGGUUAUUUUUUCAUGUUUUUUAAAAUCAAUUUUAACCAAAUAUUAAACCCUUUAUUUGCCAGCCUAUCUGUGUCGUUGGCCUUAUGACGAGGAGUGCCUGUGGGUUAUCCUAAUCGUUGUCUUGGUCACUCUUGGUUGGGCCUGGUUGACUUUGCCAGUCAGCUCCUACAGUGAUCAGUUGGCCACCUCUAGAUCUGUGUUUGCCGGUCUAGACGUAAUCGGUGCACUUACUUGAAGUGCCGGGUUGCAGCGAUCCCAGAACGUUGAUAACGUGAUCUGAUCCCUAAGUUGAGAGCUGUCUUCCUGUAACGCUUCCGAAUAAGAGGUCCUGGUCGAAAGAGUUGAAAGAUACGAAAUUAGUUGGUCGUUGGAAUCCUGAUCGCAGUAAAGUGGUCCUUGGUAACUGCACACGAGUAAAACAUGUCUGCAUCGCCAGUAGUCUGCUAAUAGGGAGGGCUGUGCGAUUAAAGGCUUCCAUCGAUUGGGUAGUAUCCUUCAAGUGGGUGGCGAAGAGCCAGUCGGGCCUAUGUCAUGAAGGUUUCUCCGACCGCUUAAUGGUUUGCUGCUUGACUAGC